AGUGAACGCUGGCGGUAGGCCUAACACAUGCAAGUCGAACGGCAGCACAGUAAGAGCUUGCUCUUACGGGUGGCGAGUGGCGGACGGGUGAGGAAUACAUCGGAAUCUACUUUUUCGUGGGGGAUAACGUAGGGAAACUUACGCUAAUACCGCAUACGACCUACGGGUGAAGGCAGGGGAUCUUCGGACCUUGCGCGAUUGAAUGAGCCGAUGUCGGAUUGGCUAGUUGGCGGGGUAAAGGCCCACCAAGGCGACGAUCCGUAGCUGGUCUGAGAGGAUGAUCAGCCACACUGGAACUGAGACACGGUCCAGACUCCUACGGGAGGCAGCAGUGGGGAAUAUUGGACAAUGGGCGCAAGCCUGAUCCAGCCAUACCGCGUGGGUGAAGAAGGCCUUCGGGUUGUAAAGCCCUUUUGUUGGGAAAGAAAAGCAGCAGGUUAAUACCCCGCUGUUCUGACGGUACCCAAAGAAUAAGCACCGGCUAACUUCGUG
rnacentral:rRNA from 1 species